UUAGGUUCUUUGUUCCUAGACCUUGCAACCCUAAACAUAAUGUAUAUUCAAGGAUACAAUAAUAUGCACCUCUCCUUAUUUAGAAUAUUUCUGCUUAAUAGCAGUCUGCAGGUCACAGAUACACAUAAAUAAAGAUGUAGAGUUUUUCUUGAAGUAGUUGCUUCAACAUUUAUGAUGCAAAAAAUUAAGUCUACUGAGGGAAUAUGAAACGAAUGUUCGCUGGAAGGAAAAUAACCGUGCCGAUGAAGUGUGGAAUUCAAGGAAUGCAAUAAGAAUCGAAAGCAACUGAUCAUAAAUCACUGUUUCGUACGAACGUGUAAUCUGCUAGAACUUCAACGAGAUUACACAGGGGGCUAAUAAAUGACGACUUAAAAAACACUCGAUUUGUUUCCUUAAUUUAAGUUAGAAAUCAGAAAAUUGCAAGAAAUUCCUGUUAAAUUUAUUUUAGAAAGUUCUCUAUCAUUGAGCACAGAAAAAUUACAAACUAUGGAAACAAAAACUUCGUAUCUUUAAAUGGAAAUAAUAAGAACAACUGAUCUGAUAACUGUACUGGCCAUCCAUUAACAGUUGGUAUAUUAGAAAGAGGGUAAGAUUAUUUACUAUGAAUAUAAUAAAUCAAAUACAGCAAUGUAAAAUGUAAAAUACAUAUUGUUCCUGGUUGGCCAUUAAACACAGUAGCCAAAGAAAAAUAUCCAGAAUUUUGUAAUAAAACAAUAUUAGAUUAAAAAGUAUAUUAAUCUUCAAUCAUCAGUUGGCACGUACUAAUCUAUACCAUCUAAAAUAUAUUCAAUCUUAGUUGGUA